UCUAGUAUGGCAGAUAAGUGCAACGGAUUUAAGCUUCGUAUAUAAAGAAUCUAUUAACCUUUUAUUAGAA
rnacentral:tRNA from 2 species